GGAAAGACUCUGUUGGGCCUGGCAUAUGACCAGCAAAUAGUGGGGACAUGACCCGGGUAGAAUACGCCGGAGAUGGGUUUCAUCUUGGCGCUUUAAAUGUCGCCACAGUCCCCGUUUCUUCCGUCAAAAUGAAAAGGGUGUAUGCUCCUAAGUAUAUGUCAAGUUGUGCGUUUUCCUGUCAUGAUACUGUUUUCGCGGGCUGAACCGUGCAUCUUGGUUGCGGUGUGGUUUGAUGAGAGAACGUUUCUGGAGACAGAGUCAACCGGAGAUUUUGGCUGGGCCGCUUAAUCUGUCUGAGCGUGAAAAGAAAGGUGUUUUCAGUUGAGCUCAGCGUGUGAAGAAACGCUGCGAGAAGAGAAGGAAGAAAUUUGUACAUGGUUUUAGUUUCAGUGGGACCACAGAAAAUCAAAGCGCGUUAUAUAAAUCUGUUGGAUUUUCAUUCUCAAAAUUUGAGGAAAAGGCCGUCCAGCAUUUGCCACUUAUGUAACUGGCUUCCGGUUGCCAACAGUUAUCAGUGAUGUCACUGUUUUUGCUUUGGAUAUCUGCCCUUCCAGCGUUGUGAGGCAGGAUUCAAAAAUCAUUGAAUAGCUCACCUGCUCAAAGAAAAUGUGAGCUGGCUGGGGAUCGCCGUGUGGCGGGCUAGUUUUUCCC
rnacentral:ncRNA from 1 species